AUGACAGUUGUGACCUAUGAGUCAGAUGACAACUGUGAAAAUGCGCUGACAGACCUGAAAGCUAACAGAGAUUUUGUUGAAAGAAGAUACCACACAUGUACAAGAAGUAUGACGGAUGAAAAAGAGAUAAUAGAUCUGUUAGAAAAAAUAGAUGUUAUGGUCUCUGAAAAUAAACCAGAAUACUACAGUGGAAGGAUGUUUGAUGAAAAUAAAGAGCAGGAAGAAAACCUGGAUCAGAAUGACUCCUCUGAGCAAAAUCAAACAGCAAAUGAAGAGGAGGAGGAGGGUGCAGCUAAAACAGAGUCUAAGCCGGUGAAUAAACCUGCUGAUGUUGAACAAUCAGAAAAGAAAAAUGACAGCAAAACACUAGGAGGUGACCUUGAUAUGGAGAUGAUUGGAGAAAAGGA
rnacentral:lncRNA from 1 species